AAAAUCUAAGGGGAUUGAAUGUCCAUACCAUGACAAUAUGUGAUUUUGGCCUGAAGUUCAAAAUCUAACAGUGUUGAGAACCUGAAGUUCCAACAAUUAAAUGGACAACUCUUGAGGUACUAUUGCAAAUUGUGGUACGCCACAUAUUUCUUUGGCAUAAGAAAUUGAUGAAUUUAAUAAAGUUCGAUUCUGUUAUAAUCGACACCUCAAGUAAGAAAUAUAUUUUGUGAAUUCCGGUUGUUAAGAAUACACCGUGAAAUGGAUAAUAUCAAUAUAAACCUCAAAUGAUGAAUUGAGGCUCCCCACACAUUUUGAUAUAUCUAUGAGAAAUCCCGAAUUUGAGAUUGUGGGCAUAUAGUAGUUAAUGUUCUUCACUACUAUAUUACGAUAUUAUCGUAGCUUUUACUCAAUUC
rnacentral:lncRNA from 1 species